UAGAGCGCUACUCUUAUAAAGUAGAUGUCCAUGGUUCGAAUCCAUGCACGCCCA
rnacentral:tRNA from 1 species